rnacentral:ncRNA from 1 species
CAACGCUCGUUGGGGCGCCCCGCGCGGGGCUGAGAUGUGCCAGGCACAGCACCCAUCGAACCUGAUCCGGGUCAUGCCGGCGAAGGGAACGGGCUGCGCGCAUCC